GAUUGGCCCUCUCGGAGAAAGGGGCGUGGCCCCUCCUUACUAUGCGGUGCGAGGACCCAACAACAUUCCAGUCGCUGCGGCCACGCCCCCGGGCCACUCCCCCCUCGCCCGGCUGCAGCCUCCCAGUAACCUCGGCCACACCCCCUUCCCAACUACUUAAAAGGACACUCCAAAGCUCACGUUUCCCUACUCUGUGCUGUGUAUUCACGUCUGUCCGUCUCCUCUCAGGCCUCAGAUACCCUCUCUUGGCUAUGGCUCCUGGACUUUCAAGGCUGUAGGUGAGGGGCGCGCGCGCGCUUGUUCCCAAGAAGCUCUAGAAGGCAAGUUUCAACUCAAUAUCAGGUCCUUCCCAGGAGCUACAUCUGUCCACAGACCUGUUCCUUCUACAUCUGCUUAGUUCCCCAAGCCAGAAACCUGAAGUCACCUAAGCCUCUUCCUCCCGAUUCAUGUCCAGAGGACCAGUGACUCUUCCCUUCCCAGGGCUGUUUCACAUCUUCUGUCUCGUGGACGUGUGCUGAUGUCACCCUCCUGGCCACGCUCGCUGCUCCUGUCACUUGUCACCGCAUAGCCCUAGAUCUGCACCCGCCAGAGUUCUGUGGCUACAGGCCACAGAAACUAACUCCGGCUAACUUAAGCAGGAAAACAAUUCAUUGGAAGGUUAUCAGGCAUCUCAUGGAUUCGACGGCACUCCCUACCUUUUUUCCUGUGCUGGUGUGCCUUGAUUUUAUUCCUGAAAGUACCCGUCCUCUACCCAGGCCACAGGAGAGGAAUGCUGUGACUCAGGAGGCAGUGUCCCUGGCACUGGACUGAGCUUCCUGUCCUGGGGGCCUAGGAAACACCUUGAGCCCUGAAUUUCCUGAGCGAUAUCAAUGGAUUGCUCCUGGGUCUGCUCGCGGGCUCUGGUAACAUCUGGUACAAAUCCAUCCAGAGGCCUAUACUGGGUCUCCCCUCCUGGCCCUGGGAACCCCUCCACCCUGCACCAUGCAUAUACUGGAAAUGGGAUGGAUAUGAUGCUUCAGGUGAUCUGAGCCAGCCUCAUUCUCCUUUUCGCCUCUUACUCCAUCCUGGAAUCAUCUUCAAGCCUGCAAUCCUCAGGAAGCAACUUCUAUCUCGGGCGAUGUUACUUGCUCAAAGCUGACCACUGAGCUAGCCUUGGGAUUGGAGAUGAAUGAAGUAAGGGAGAACCUGCUUAUUCAAUGGGCAAGGAUCUAUUGAGCCUGUUGGGGUCACAAAGAUGAACAGUUCUGAUCUUUGCUCUCCAAGGUCUUACUCUGUAGAGGAAGAGACAGGAUGAAGAGGAGAGAGACUGAGGGGGAAGAGGAAUGAGCUGGAGUGGUUUCCUCUACACACGCAUGUGCAUCCUGAGUAGGGGACCUGCUGGAAUUCCGGAAGCGGCUGAAGUUCACCUGAAGGCCGCUCCCUUUGGUUGUGGAAGAGCCAGAGGCGGCUGAAAACAUCCAUGUGGGGGCGCCUGGCUGGCUCAGGAAGGAGGAGCCUGUGACUCUUGA